rnacentral:rRNA from 1 species
CCAGACUCCUACGGGAGGCAGCAGUGGGGGAUAUUGCACAAUGGGGGGAACCCUGAUGCAGCGACGCCGCGUGGGUGAAGGAGUGCUUCGGCAUGUAAAGCCCUAUCGGCAGGGAAGAAGCAAGACGGUACCUGACUAAGAAGCCCCGGCUAACUACGUGCCAGCAGCCGCGGUAAUACGUAGGGGGCGGGCGUUAUCCGGAUUUACUGGGUGUAAAGGGAGCGUAGACGGUGAUGCAAGUCAGAAGUGAAAGCCCGGGGCUCAACUCCGGGACUGCUUUUGAAACUGUGUAACUGGAGUGCAGGAGGGGUAAGCGGAAUUCCUGGUGUAGCGGUGAAAUGCGUAGAUAUCAGGAGGAACACCAGUGGCGAAGGCGGCUUACUGGACUGUAACCGACGUUGAGGCUCGAAAGCGUGGGGAGCAAACAGGAUUAGAUACCCGAGUAA